rnacentral:lncRNA from 1 species
CCUGAAUCAAAACCUGAAGCUGUCAACUUGCUGAAGUAGUGAUGGAGUAUGUACAAAGAAUGCAGCGGAUAAUGGCAGUCCUGUCCUCUGAACAGAUGGUGAUGGUCCUGUUGCUAGGAUAAGGCCUGAAGAAUUUAGUUUUUAAUUCCACAUUAUUUGCCUCGGUGCCAUGAAUAUCCCUAGGUUUCCUCAGGCAAAAAUACAACAAAUACACAGAAAGAGAAAGAGAAGUGACAUGCGGAUAGAAAAGGAGACAGAGCACGGGAAAGGACUGGAGCCAGGAUCCCGUUGCCACCUGAAUUAUUCCAGCAACCGCAUUAUGUACGUGGUGGACACUGAUUGACAAUUGUCAUUUGGCAAAAGAGCUGUUGUGGAAAAACCUGUGAAAACUUCUAGUGCCCGUGA